CCUACGGGUGGCAGCAGUGGGGAAUAUUGGACAAUGGGGGGAACCCUGAUCCAGCGACGCCGCGUGAGUGAAGAAGUAUUUCGGUAUGUAAAGCUCUAUCAUCAGGGAUGAAAGAAAUGACGGUACCUGACUAAGAAGCCACGGCUAACUACGUGCCAGCAGCCGCGGUAAUACGUAGGUGGCAAGCGUUAUCCGGAUUUACUGGGCGUAAAGGGAGCGUAGACGGUGAUGCAAGUCUGAAGUGAAAGGCGGGGGCCCAACCCCCGGACUGCUUGGGAAACUGUAUGGCUGGAGUGCAGGAGAGGUAAGUGGAAUUCCUAGUGUAGCGGUGGAAUGCGUAGAUAUUAGGAGGAACACCAGGGGCGAAGGCGACUUACUGGACUGUAACUGACACUGAUGCUCGAAAGUGUGGGUAUCAAACAGGAUUAGAUACCCCAGUAGUC
rnacentral:rRNA from 1 species